UACGUAGGGUGCAAGCGUUGUCCGGAAUUACUGGGCGUAAAGAGCUCGUAGCGGUUUGUCGCGUCGUCUGUGAAAACUCGAGGCUCAACCUCGAGCUUGCAGGCGAUACGGGCAGACUUGAGUACUGCAGGGGAGACUGGAAUUCCUGGUGUAGCGGUGAAAUGCGCAGAUAUCAGGAGGAACACCGGUGGCGAAGGCGGGUCUCUGGGCAGUAACUGACGCUGAGGAGCGAAAGCGUGGGUAGCGAACAGG
rnacentral:rRNA from 1 species